rnacentral:rRNA from 1 species
UACGUAGGGUGCGAGCGUUAAUCGGAAUUACUGGGCGUAAAGCGUGCGCAGGCGGUUUUGUAAGCUGGAUGUGAAAUCCCCGGGCUUAACCUGGGAAUGGCAUUCGGGACUGCAAGGCUGGAGUGCGGCAGAGGAGACUGGAAUUCCUGGUGUAGCAGUGAAAUGCGUAGAUAUCAGGAGGAACACCGAUGGCGAAGGCAGGUCUCUGGGCUGACACUGACGCUCAUGCACGAAAGCGUGGGGAGCAAACAGG